GGGGAUUUAGCUAAGCAGCUUAAGCGCAUGCCUGGCAAGCAUGAGGUUGUGAGUUCAAUCCCUG
rnacentral:tRNA from 1 species